AAUUCUGCCAUGGAGAGGGUGCUCUCUUGUGUCAUCACAUCAAAUGUAAUUCCCAAGGAUGGGACUCUAAGGAUAUUAUUGCUUGAGUGCUGUACACAAGUUACAUGUUGACUUAAUGUAAAAGAUGGGACUUGAAAUAGCUGAUCUCUGGUAGGAAUGAAGAAAGUUCAGCUAGCAGCAGCACCUUACAGAAUGGAAAGGAACCUCCUUCUUUCUAAAUGAUGUAACCGAAAGCUGAGGCAGAGGAAGAGAAAACGAAAAAUAUCUCCACCUGUCUUAUAUUGAGCAAGAGACAAGGCACAGAGCAACAAAGUGUGUCCAGGAAGGAUAUGGGAGGAUCAGCAAAAUGAGGGAUGUAAUGUUGAAGAAGACAAGUCAGACAAUAACCAGGGCCCAAAUACAUACCACUACAGGAAAUUUAAGGAUUGUGUGCCUCAUGAGUAACUAAGUAGUUUCAUCCAAGCAAGUCUAUAAUUUUCUGGAGAUCAUGCCUUUUGAUAACAUUGGCACAUUCCUGUUCUGAAACCAGAAUCAGGCCUCUGUUCUUCUAUUCUUCUAUUCUUCUAUUCUGUCGUCAGCCUGUUGUUUGGUCUUUGGGAUACUUCUUAAUGUGUAGCAUUCCUGACGAAAUGAAUACACACACAACCACUGACACAUA